rnacentral:lncRNA from 1 species
AAAAUGGAAGAUAAGAAUUUUUUUAAAGAGAGAUUAAACUGCUUACUCAAGGUCACAGAGGCACUAUCCUAGGGAAGACCUCAGGAGAGGACAGAACUCAUCCAAAUCUCUACUUAAAAUUCAACCCCUCCCUAAAGCAUUCAGGGAGGCACUUGAGGUUGUUGGAGCCCAGAGAGGAAGGAAGCAGGAAAAAGGGUAAAUCAAACAUGGAUAAGAAUCUUUUGAGCCAACAACAUCCUACUGGACCACGUGCGUGUGCUCUGCUUGGACAUGCCUAGAGAUGCCCAGGAUUAUAUGAUUUGCCAUCCAAGAAUACAUCAGAUCC